GACGAACGCUGGCGGCGUGCUUAACACAUGCAAGUCGAACGGAAAGGCCUGCAGCUUGCUGCGGGUACUCGAGUGGCGAACGGGUGAGUAACACGUGGGUGAUCUGCCUUGCACUUCGGGAUAAGCUUGGGAAACUGGGUCUAAUACCGGAUAGGACAGCUGUUUAGUGUCAGUUGUGGAAAGUUUUUUCGGUGCAAGAUGAGCUCGCGGCCUAUCAGCUUGUUGGUGGGGUAAUGGCCUACCAAGGCGUCGACGGGUAGCCGGCCUGAGAGGGUGUACGGCCACAUUGGGACUGAGAUACGGCCCAGACUCCUACGGGAGGCAGCAGUGGGGAAUAUUGCACAAUGGGCGGAAGCCUGAUGCAGCGACGCCGCGUGGGGGAUGAAGGCCUUCGGGUUGUAAACUCCUUUCGACAGGGACGAAGCUUUUGUGACGGUACCUGUAUAAGAAGCACCGGCUAACUACGUGCCAGCAGCCGCGGUAAUACGUAGGGUGCGAGCGUUGUCCGGAAUUACUGGGCGUAAAGAGCUCGUAGGUGGUUUGUCGCGUCGUCUGUGAAAUUCCGGGGCUUAACUCCGGGCGUGCAGGCGAUACGGGCUGACUUGAGUGCUGUAGGGGAGACUGGAAUUCCUGGUGUAGCGGUGAAAUGCGCAGAUAUCAGGAGGAACACCGAUGGCGAAGGCAGGUCUCUGGGCAGUAACUGACGCUGAGGAGCGAAAGCAUGGGUAGCGAACAGG
rnacentral:rRNA from 1 species